GUUCUUGUUGUGUAAAGGUUAGCACGUCCAACUGGUAACUGGAAGAUUCGGGGUUCGAGUCCCCGAGCACA
rnacentral:tRNA from 1 species